UCUCCGUUGGUGAACCAGCGGAGGGAUCAUUACCGAGUUUACAACCCCCAAACCCAAUGUGAACGUUACCAAACUGUUGCCUCGGCGGGGUCACGCCCCGGGUGCGUCGCAGCCCCGGAACCAGGCGCCCGCCGGAGGAACCAACCAAACUCUUUCUGUAGUCCCCUCGCGGACGUUAUUUCUUACAGCUCUGAGCAAAAAUUCAAAAUGAAUCAAAACUUUCAACAACGGAUCUCUUGGUUCUG
rnacentral:misc_RNA from 1 species